rnacentral:tRNA from 1 species
GCCCCUGUAGCUCAGUUGGUAGAGCACGUCCUUGGUAAGGACGAGGCCAGCGGUUCAAUCCCGCUCGGGGGCU